rnacentral:tRNA from 1 species
UCCCUGGUGGCUCAGUGGUAAAGAAUCUGCCUGCAAUGCAGAAGACCUGGGUUUAAUCCCUGGGUUGGGAA